AGGUGGCCAUGGCCGACAGUGGCAUGGUGGUGUUCGGCGCAAGUGGGCAAGUGGGCAAGUGGGGGGUAGGUGGCUAGGUAUUAGUGGGCCAAAAUUGGCCUACUACAAUAAUUAUUUUAUUAAAUUAUAUAUUUUUAUUAAAUUAUAUUUUUUUUAAAUUAUACAUAUACCUACAAAGCAUCAAUAUAAUAACAUGAUCAAAGAUUUUGAAGACGAAGAAUUUAUGCAAAUUACUAUAGACUAUUUUCAAAAUUUGUUCACCUCACAAGGAUAGUCUAUUUUUGGUUAAUAGACUAGGCAAGUGGGGGGUAGGUGGCUAGGUAUUAGUGGGCCAAAAUUGGCCUACUACAGCUGCCCCUCUUUGCUCAUUUUCGUGUAACGAGAAUAGAGCAAAGACAUCAAAAGGGCCAAUUUUGCCCGGUCUUGCCGAGUCUUGACUUUUUGGUGCUCAUCUUCUUCAAGUAGCCUUAUCCCAACCUACCGCGUCUUGUUGCUUCGAUCCCCUCUACUGCAACUUCA
rnacentral:lncRNA from 1 species